AAAUCAUAUGAAGUGGCUUCAAUCUGAUCUUGAUCCUUUUCAUUUCAGGGAACAUCUUUGCUUUCGGGCUUUUCGUAUCGCCCUUACCCACGUUUAAAAGAAUUAUCAGAAACCAGUCUACCGAGAACUUCUCGGGAUUGCCUUAUAUAUAUGCUCUCUUGAACUGCUUGAUCUGUACGUGGUAUGGCACGCCCUUGAUAUCUUAUGACAAUGUGCUGGUUAUGACGGUUAAUUCGAUCGGUGCAGUUUUUCAAAUGACCUACAUUAUCAUCUUCAUUGUGCAUGCUGAUAGAGAGAAAAAGGAUGAUUGGGUUGCUACUAGCAGUUUUUGGCUUUAUCGCAAUCAUAGUUGCUGGAAGCUUGCAGAUAGCCGACCGAGGAAUGCGAUGGAUCUUUGUUGGGUUAUUAAGUUGUGCUUCU